rnacentral:lncRNA from 1 species
GUGCGAGGGGCGCAGCAAGCACACGACAGCUGGCUCAGGGGCUGCCCCGAAUGUUGUCACCCUGCGUCCCCUGCCUCUCCUCCCCGCCCCCUCCCUGCCCCGUACCUUCUCCCUGCUGGGGAGCUGCCCUGUGGGACCCCAGCAGCCACCGGCUGGGGUAGGCAUGGCCAAGGGCGGUUGCCGCACAGAGGCACAGGACAGAUUCCCACCCUGCCCUCUGCCCUAGAUAGGAGCUGCCAGACUGUGGGCCGUCGUGUCCAGCAGGCCAUGGACAGGAAAUGGAGGAGCCUGCAGAAUGGGCGCACUGAACAGAGGAAUGGACACAGGCCCCGGGCAGCCUCACAUCCAGUUCAUGAGCCUGUGGGUCCCAGGUCCCUGACAUGAGCAGAAUGCUCAGCCUUGGACUGGCUGGAAAGCCGAGCCCCCUGGCCAGCGUGCUGUCCCUUGUCAAAAGUGGCCAGAGUUGGGGGGAGACCGUCAGCUCCAUGCGGCCAGCUGCCCAGAGAUCCAGAGCGCUGGGGUCCGCUUCUGUUGCAUUCCCCCCGUCCCCUCCUCCGGGGGCCAAUAAACAGCAGCAGCCCUUUCUUCUCUGGGGACACUGGCCCAAGGGAGCAGGAGGGCUCCCUGCAGCCCUGCACGGACAUUCUCUCUGGGAGGUGAGCAGAGGCCCCGCCCCGGAGAUGGCCACUUCACAGCAAACACUGCCUUCCAGCGCCACUAGGUGGCUCCCGCUCACCUGUCCAACCGCCCUUGCGCAGGCCUGGAGCAGAUGUCGGGGCAUCCCGUGUGCACCUGCCGGCUCCCUGGAGGAUCCUCCUCUGCUCUCGGCUUCUCUUCCUGCAGCCCCCAAAUGCCUCCUCCCGCCAUGUCCCGGUGCUCUGGGUCAGCUCCUGCCUCUGCAUCUCGGGUUGCCUGUUCUGACCCCAGAGCGCACCCACCGGACUUCCUCCCUCAGAUUCUCAGCUUGGGCCUCCCCAGGGCCACUUUCAGUCUGUGCACAGACCAUCGGUGGCCGUGCAGACUUGCAGUCUCUGCCACCUGCCUGCUUCGUGCAGGCACCCAGACCUCACAGCUGCCCAUCAAGGGGCCAGUCCUUGUUCAAGGGGGAAAGUGGCGGGCAGAGCACAGGGAAUCUGCCCAAGGCUGCUGCAGGGAGGUCUGAGACCUACCCCGCAUCUCAGGAUCUCCCGAGUCCCCUGACCUGGGCGCUGGUACCCUGUGGCGUUCAUAGGGAAUCUGAGGCUUGGAGAGACCCAGUAGCUCGUCCCAGGUGUGCUGUCACAUCCCUUUGCCCAAGUCCGAAGGGCUCCAGGUCACCCGCCCUUCCCCUUGAUCGACAGGAGAGAGGGUCAGGGGCACAGGUGCCUCUUGGAGAGAGCCAGGGGCCAGAACUGGAACCCCGGGUCUCCAGAGCUCCAGCAGGAGUGAGCUCCGUUCCAGCCCCCAGGAGAGCCACCUCGUGGGCAGCUGGGGUG